CGUAGAAACCCUCUAGGGUGCGUGUGACACGCGUGACCUGUCAAGAAAAUUACAGAAUUUUUGGAAUCCUUUCCGUCAAGAAAACUUGAAGUCGGGAAGGCAGGCGUCAACCAAGUGAGUGAUGCCAUGGUUCGAGGCGGAAAUGCGUG